GACGUAGGGCGCGAGCGUUGUCCGGAUUUAUUGGGCGUAAAGAGCUCGUAGGCGGCUUGUUGCGUCAGCUGUGAAAACCCGCAGCUCAACUGUGGGCUUGCAGCUGAUACGGGCAGGCUUGAGUUCGGUAGGGGAGACUGGAAUUCCUGGUGUAGCGGUGAAAUGCGCAGAUAUCUGGAGGAAUACCGGUGGCGAAGGCGGCAUCCUGGACCAUUACUGACGCUGAAGCGCGAAAGCUAGGGGAGCAAACGGG
rnacentral:rRNA from 1 species